rnacentral:rRNA from 1 species
GUCAGCAGCCACACCAGCUGCAGUUCAGGCCAGGUAACCCACCUGAAGAUAAGCAGGUUUGGGCCUGGCUAAGAGAGGGAGACCAACUUGGAAGUCUGGGUCGCUGCUGGAA